GGGUUGUGAGGUUAAGCGACUAAGCGUACACGGUGGAUGCCCUGGCAGUCAGAGGCGAUGAAGGACGUGCUAAUCUGCGAUAAGCGUCGGUAAGGUGAUAUGAACCGUUAUAACCGGCGAUUUCCGAAUGGGGAAACCCAGUGUGAUUCGUCACACUAUCAUUAACUGAAUCCAUAGGUUAAUGAGGCGAACCGGGGGAACUGAAACAUCUAAGUACCCCGAGGAAAAGAAAUCAACCGAGAUUCCCCCAGUAGCGGCGAGCGAACGGGGAGCAGCCCAGAGCCUGAAUCAGUGUGUGUGUUAGUGGAAGCGUCUGGAAAGGCGCGCGAUACAGGGUGACAGCCCCGUACACAAAAAUGCACAUGCUGUGAGCUCGAUGAGUAGGGCGGGACACGUGGUAUCCUGUCUGAAUAUGGGGGGACCAUCCUCCAAGGCUAAAUACUCCUGACUGACCGAUAGUGAACCAGUACCGUGAGGGAAAGGCGAAAAGAACCCCGGCGAGGGGAGUGAAAAAGAACCUGAAACCGUGUACGUACAAGCAGUGGGAGCCUCUUUAUGGGGUGACUGCGUACCUUUUGUAUAAUGGGUCAGCGACUUAUAUUCUGUAGCAAGGUUAACCGAAUAGGGGAGCCGAAGGGAAACCGAGUCUUAACUGGGCGUUAAGUUGCAGGGUAUAGACCCGAAACCCGGUGAUCUAGCCAUGGGCAGGUUGAAGGUUGGGUAACACUAACUGGAGGACCGAACCGACUAAUGUUGAAAAAUUAGCGGAUGACUUGUGGCUGGGGGUGAAAGGCCAAUCAAACCGGGAGAUAGCUGGUUCUCCCCGAAAGCUAUUUAGGUAGCGCCUCGUGAAUUCAUCUCCGGGGGUAGAGCACUGUUUCGGCAAGGGGGUCAUCCCGACUUACCAACCCGAUGCAAACUGCGAAUACCGGAGAAUGUUAUCACGGGAGACACACGGCGGGUGCUAACGUCCGUCGUGAAGAGGGAAACAACCCAGACCGCCAGCUAAGGUCCCAAAGUCAUGGUUAAGUGGGAAACGAUGUGGGAAGGCCCAGACAGCCAGGAUGUUGGCUUAGAAGCAGCCAUCAUUUAAAGAAAGCGUAAUAGCUCACUGGUCGAGUCGGCCUGCGCGGAAGAUGUAACGGGGCUAAACCAUGCACCGAAGCUGCGGCAGCGACGCUAUGCGUUGUUGGGUAGGGGAGCGUUCUGUAAGCCUGCGAAGGUGUACUGUGAGGUAUGCUGGAGGUAUCAGAAGUGCGAAUGCUGACAUAAGUAACGAUAAAGCGGGUGAAAAGCCCGCUCGCCGGAAGACCAAGGGUUCCUGUCCAACGUUAAUCGGGGCAGGGUGAGUCGACCCCUAAGGCGAGGCCGAAAGGCGUAGUCGAUGGGAAACAGGUUAAUAUUCCUGUACUUGGUGUUACUGCGAAGGGGGGACGGAGAAGGCUAUGUUGGCCGGGCGACGGUUGUCCCGGUUUAAGCGUGUAGGCUGGUUUUCCAGGCAAAUCCGGAAAAUCAAGGCUGAGGCGUGAUGACGAGGCACUACGGUGCUGAAGCAACAAAUGCCCUGCUUCCAGGAAAAGCCUCUAAGCAUCAGGUAACAUCAAAUCGUACCCCAAACCGACACAGGUGGUCAGGUAGAGAAUACCAAGGCGCUUGAGAGAACUCGGGUGAAGGAACUAGGCAAAAUGGUGCCGUAACUUCGGGAGAAGGCACGCUGAUA
rnacentral:rRNA from 1 species